rnacentral:rRNA from 1 species
UACGGGGGGGCAAGCGUUGUUCGGAAUUACUGGGCGUAAAGGGCGCGUAGGCGGCGCGACAAGUCACUUGUGAAAUCUCUGGGCUCAACCCAGAACGGUCAAGUGAUACUGUCGUGCUAGAGUGCGGAAGGGGCAACUGGAAUUCUUGGUGUAGCGGUGAAAUGCGUAGAUAUCAAAGAGGAACACCUGCGGCGAAGGCGGGUUGCUGGGCCGACACUGACGCUGAGGCGCGAAAGCCAGGGGAGCGAACGGG